GGAAGCGUGGCCGAGUGGCUGAAGGCAGCAUCCUGCUAAGAUGUUAGGGGAGAAAUCCCCUCGAAGGUUCGAAUCCUUCCGCUUCCG
rnacentral:tRNA from 1 species